UUGGCAUCGCGAUCGCGAUCCCGCGGGCGAUCCCACAGGCAAUCGCGAUCGCGAUCCUGCGGCUGAUCCCACGGUCAAUCUCCCUCGCGAUCCCACGAACCCGCAGGCGAUGGCGAUCGCGAGCCGCGAGCAGGAUUGCGAUCGCGAUCUUCUUCUCCACAACGAUCGCAGGGGAUAACAGCGAACGCGAUCUUCUUCUCCACAGCAAUCUUUCUUGAAUUCAUUCUUUUUUUCGGAUCUGCAAGUAUUAUCUGUUUCUCUUUUUUUGUUUCCAGUUGGUUCUAAAUAGGACAAGCAGUCGCGAUCACGAUCUUCUUCUCCACAACGAUCAUGGGGGAUAACAGCAAUCACGAUCUUCUUCUCCUCAGCGAUCUUUCUUGAAUUCAUUCUUUGUUUUGGAUCUUUGGUUCUAAAUACGGAAAGUAGUCUUCAAAAUUCCAAGGGUGUCUUCUCCCUCUCACCCUUUGAUUCUUGAGAUUUCAACUUUGCCGAUUAGUAGAUUCUUUAUCUUUGCUCUGAUUCAGCAAAAGAGUGCAGUACAACAAUAUCAACCUCAAAGUUUGGCUCUAGAUUUGAUCACAUGUUUUGCUGGAGUAGUGGAGAUUAUGUUGGAGAUUAAUAUCUCCACAAACUAUCUUAUUAAAUAUAUUUUUUCAGCCAACAUCUCUUUAACAAAAGAAUGUAAUUUAUCAAGAUUCCCAUGUUACACAUAAUCCUUUCAUUCCUUAUCUCUGGUUUCUCACAAAUAGUGCAACAUUCUUUUGUUAAUGAUGUUUGCCUCAUUUUGUGGUGAUCUACACUAUAUUCUAGUUCACAAGGUUGGGUGUCAUAUGCCAGCAAUGCCAUUUCCAUCAAAGCACUGAAACAGAGAACCAUCUGUUGGUUUCAUUCUAUGACCAAAUCAAGGUUAUGUUCAGAAUGGAAGCCCAAAACAAGGUGAACUGUACCAAAUCCGAAUCAUCAAAGGCAUCCUACUGAAACAACAAAAAUCAUUAAAGAGCAUCGGACAAGAGAGUAACAGAUUUCCUAGUGCUAGUUACCUGAUUUCUCCCAACAACAUGGCGAUGGGAUUAGGUUUGCUAUAUAUAUUUAUAUGUCAAGUACCCAACUUCCAUUCAUGCAACUUCUACAUUAUUUAAUUUGCUGGCUUUCUCCAAUCCC